rnacentral:antisense_RNA from 1 species
UAACCCAGCAACUCCCCGAUUGGGGGAAAUAAAACUUAAACUCUAGAGAUAAAUGGACUAAUUUGCUGUGAUGCAGAUCAUUCCAUGGGCUAGUCUGUCUCCUGGGGCUGGCAACAAUUGCUAAAAUCCAUAAGCAUGACUGGUGGUAAGAGUCAGUGAGGAAAGCCACAAAACUCCAUGCUGUCAUGGAUGCUGUUUAUGGGAUGCAACAGAGAGGAUGGGAUGGUUAAUAUCGUCUGUUCCCUCGGAAAACGAAGUGUUGUAAGCGUUGCUGCGUGAAGUCUGCCCUUCCCAGGCUAAAAACUGAGCUUUCUGAAAGGCAAAUGAAUGGUCCCCCUAACCAUGCAGAGAGAGAUUCCACUGAAGCCAAGAGAGAGCCAUGACAUGGACGCGAGAGCCAAAUGUAACAGCAGGACCUAACACUGGAGCUCAGAAGGAAGCAGAAGACACACAGAGGAGCAAGGAGAAAGCACCAAAAGGGGCAGCAGAAUCAAAGGAGGGAGCCCUGCAGGGCACAGCAAGACGCCUGGGCCUGCGGGGUCCGCAAGGUGCACAGGAGAGAGGCUCAGAGAGCUGGGAAGCAGACAGGAAGGAGAGAAGCAGAAACAGGACAUGAAGGAAAACCUCUGUCAAGAAAGGCUGCUGGGGACAAAGAUUUGGAGGAAUGAUUCAGCUCUCUCAAAGAAACACCAAAGAAAGAGCUUCCCCUUCUCCACUCCCUACCUCUCUUCUACAAGAGAGGAAAAGAAGUAGCUCCUCUGCAGGUGAAGAAACUAAAACCUUGAAGUCAAGAGACCUUCCCAAAGUUCACACUGCUAGAAAAGCACAACCAGACCUUCUCAUACUGCCACAGUGAACAGAGAGGGUACGCACACGGUUCAUUAGAGCCCUCCCAGGAUCCCUCCAACCUACCCUCCCAGUGCCAGGUAGUUCUUGGCACUGGCACCUGGAAUUCCAUCAUUAAGUAUAUUGUUGGUCAUAAAGAUUUGUCCCCAGUUAAACUUUGCUAUAAAAAUGGAUAUGUGCAUUUGCUGCCUAUCACUGUCAUAGAAAUGGUAAGUUUCAGAACCCUCCGGGCAACUGAGCUGAGUGCUGCCCUUUAUUAAAGAUGAUGCCUAAUUAAGAGGAAAUUCUGCUGAGGAAGGGGUAGUGCACUACAGAACACACUAGAACUCUGGCACAGUGGAGAAAGGGCAGUGAGCAGGGGAGUAAGAAAAAAGGACCGGCUGAAAGAGAGGGGAGCCGACGCCUAUGUUCUCACAGCUUUAUGAUUUUGCCUAGAGCUGAUCUUUAAUGGACACAUAGCAUUUUGAAAUGUAUGGAAAAUCAGGUUCAAGCUGCUUAGCCCAAAGAUUAAGGCCCCCACCCACCGCCCAGCCUCAUCUACCCCGCUUCCUAUCUCCUAGGCACAUCAUAAGAAUCCUCGAUACUCAUGAAAUGGAUGAUUUUUCAAUCCCUGCAAAACUGCUUCAAUUAUUUCAGCCUGUGUGUCUGAAAUGUUACCACCCUCUGCUCCAGGUCCUCCGUUACCCGUCAGCCCAGCAUCCGGCUUUGCUUCCAUAAACUAGUCUUUAAACCCUGCCCCAACAAGCAAGGAUCCAUCUGCUCCCCUCAACUCUCAGAGCACUCAGCUGUGACCCUGCUCCAACACCAGCCCGCCUGGCCUGAGUCACCAGUGAAACAAACAGGAGAUGCUAUCACCUGAUGACCACUCAGCAAUGAAGUGCUCCAGGGCGCUUCCAUGUAU